CACGGGGGGAGCAAGCGUUGUUCGGAAUCACUGGGCGUAAAGGGCGUGUAGGCGGUUCGGUAAGUGGAAUGUGAAAUCCCUCGGCUCACCCGAGGACCUGCAUCCCAAACUGCCGAGCUUGAGUAUGGGAGAGGAUGAGGGAAUUCCUGGUGUAGCGGUGAAAUGCGUAGAUAUCUGGAGGAACACCGGUGGCGAAGGCGACGUCCUGGACCGGCAUUGACGCUGAGGCGCGAAAGCCAGGGGAGCAAACGGG
rnacentral:rRNA from 1 species